ensembl:lncRNA
GCAGAGAGAGAAGCAGAGAGAGAAGCAGAGAGAGAAGCAGAGAGAGAAGCAGAGAGAGAAGCAGAGAGAGAAGCAGAGAGAGAAGCAGAGAGAGAAGCAGAGAGAGAAGCAGAGAGAGAGAGGGAGGCAGGGAGGAAGGAAGGAGGAAGGAAGGGAGGAAGGAAGGGAGGGAGGAAGGUGAAACACUAUUUUGAAAUAUCACUUGUGUUUUGUCUUCUUGGAAAUUCAGAUUCUCCUCCCUCUCAGGACCCUUGAACUUGAAGAUGAGGCCAUGAGGCUUUCACUCCAGGGAAACGAGGGCUGAUACUGCCAAGAACAAAGAAGGUUUUGCUGUACUUUGAGCUUCAACUGGCCUUUAAAAAUAAAAACUCGUUGUGCAGUCAUGUUCUUGAAAGCCAGGCUUUCUAAAGAGAAAAGCUAUUUUCUCAGAACGCCUCCGGAGCCGGGUUUUACAUCUCAAGAGCCGAAGCUUGGAGAGAACUGAUGGUAGAAUAAUCCAUAAGGUAAGAAGAAAGAAGGACGCUCAGGGUUGGGAUGAGGGUCCUGGUGGGGAGGGAGAGGGGAGAGAGGGCCAGUGCCAAUGUCCUCACCCUUCCCUUCCCAUGGUCAGAUCCCUAAACAGGACACUCCUUCCGUGUUUUCUAGGCUCAACAUGGAGACCCGCCCCACCCCCUCCCCCACUGGAGCAGGAGGUUGUUGCAGAUUGGUAGAGGUGCAUGGCCAAGGGAAGAGGGCCAGUUAGUGGGCCCAAGGCAGUUCGCAGGGCCCACCCUCUCUGGCAAGGAGCCAGGGAACAACUGAGAGUCUGCGGGCCCUGGGAGGCCCAGAAGGGCCAGACCUGGAGGUGACUUGGGUUGGGUGAGGAGGCCACAUGGCACGGACUCUUGGAACCAGAACCCGUGAGCACAGCACAACGCUCCAAGGACCAGCAGACGCCAAAGCAAGAUGCCCAGAGACCCAACGGCCAGGCUACUCCUCAGGGGACACGGAGGGACCAGGCUGUCACCUGCCGUCCAUGGGCUGCAGAAAAGGAUCCACCACUCAAUCGGCCAAAGGGAUUCCUGACAAUGAGUCAGGACAUUCAUCCCCCCCGAGCAGCACAGAGGAGUACAGGCUGGUGGGAGGCGAGAGAAGGAGGGUUGCAGGCAAGGCUUUGGGGAACAUAAAUUGACACAACCCUUUUGGAAAGAAGUUUGGCAGUCUGUGUCAAGAACCUUUAAAGCACUCAUACCUUUUGAUACAGUAAUUCUAGUUCUGGGAAUCCGGCCCAAAGAAAUCAUCUGAAAUGUGGGAAGAGCUUUAUGCCCAGAGAUGUAAAUUGAGCUGCCGCUUAUGAAAGAAAAAUUGGAAAUAGCCCGAAAUGUCCAACAGAAGUGGACUCUGUAGGUCCCCUGUGGUCCGCCCACCGCCUGCAACUCACGUGGCGUGGCAGGUCGCGCCUGGAAGGGUGCGGUGACCGGGGAGGUGCCGGCGGUCCAGCGAGGCAAAAGCAGGAUUCAAAGCCACAUCAGCAGCACGAUCGGAGUGGCGCUCGGCGAGGGAAAGUCGCACACGGAAACCACGUUCACAGCCUGCCCCUGCACGGUGGACUGGCUUGAUUCUCCCCCCCCCCCCCCACUUCUCUUUGGCCUUUUGGCCUUCUAGUUUCCUAGAAGGAGCACCGAUGUCCCUUUAGACUAGAAAUGAAGCAGUCGCCUUUCUUUUUCCCUUUUCAAAGUGGUUGUGGAAGUGACCAGGGCUCGGAGAAGAAGGUUCUAGAUGGUUGAGGGGGAAAGGAGCCAGUUUCGGGAUGAGCAGACGCUGUGAGAUAGAGGAAGUGGUGGGGAGCUUAGUUUCUAGGAUGAUGGU